GAGUAAGUAUUUAUUUAUAAAUUACUAAAUGAGUGGAAGGUCCUGGGUACUGGGAGGCAGGAGGUUGCAUAUUUGAGUUAAUAAGUUGUAUCACUGAUAAUAGAGAUAACUGACACACUAAAACAUACUUGGUGCACUGAAAUACAAAUUACAGUUAUGUUCAGUGGUGUCACUAAGUGACAAACUGGGAGUAAAUAGUUCAGGAAUGCCCUAGUCUCUAGGUCCAGUUCGAGUUGGUUACAGGACAAAGAAGCCAUUCAUAAAACGGAAGAGAUUUUUAGGUUUUGCAGCUAAGGUUUAUAGUAGGCAGCAAGGGAAUGAUUCAUAGUGGUUGUAACAGUUGAUUACCAGGUACUAUAGAGAUUGGUGUUAGCUCCAUGAUAAUACUGAUAGACUGAUUGGAGUUACAUUUUUUCUCUUGAAUUUACCAGGAGUGGUUGUGAAUGUCACCUUUUCCGUCUUUUAAAUCACAUCCUUGCAGGUGGUAAUUACUCAAGGAAAAGGAACUAUCAGAGUAAACAACAGUUCCUGUAACUGACUUGAUAUGGUCUCUGCCCAAAUAGCUUCUUGGAUUAAUGGCCACUCUCAGGUAAGGAAAAUAAAGAGGCCAAGCCUAGUUGCUUUAGGAGUUAUAGAAUACAGGUGUGACAUCAGUGUUCUCAGAAUUUGGAAAUGUUAAACUUCUUUAUUUACCAAAGCCACAACCAAAGUACUUUAUCUGGAUCUUUGAAGACAGAGCUCCUCAGUUCACACAAAUUGACUGAUGAAAAGACAAACACUUUUCCUCUACAAACCGUGGGGUAGUAUGUAGAGCAACCUGUGAUUUCUUCCCAUACUGCUCUGGAACUACUUCUAAUUAUACUUUUUUGUUCGUUUUUGGAGGGGAAGCAUUUCUCCUUGCAUUGGUUUGCUGGUAUGGAUGGCCCUUAGAUUUUGGCAUGAGUGAUUAUGCAGCAUAUUUGAAGAAAACCUGUUUUCAGGACCUUUUUAAUUAAAUAUGGCCUGUUCCGUGAGGUAAAGCGUCAUGUGAUACCGUUUUUUGACCACUUAGUUGAUGCCUCUGAAAGGAAGAGAGAAUCUGGUCGCUGAAAUCUGACGUGUCGUCAGUGUGGAUCCUACUCAGCAGUGUCACAACGAGGCUGAAAUUCAUGUUAAGUGCUUUUAGGACAGAAACGUAAACUGCUCAGGUAAAAUAACCUUGUAAAGAAAAGUAAGACUAUAUUGCAGAGGCCUUGGCUAGGUUCAUGAUGACACAGGACCUUGUCUGAACAUAAUGAUUUCAAAAUUUGAGCUUAAAAAUGACACUCUGAAAUCCAGUCAGUGUGCCUCAUUAGACUUUUCGAUUUCAAGAUUUUCUGCAGAAAAUGUUGUGAAAACUUUGAAUACUUAAAAAUGGCAGGUGUAUUAUUGCACUUUGCUAGUUGCUCAGAUACCCUUUUUUAUUUGUAUAGUCUGAGUUCCUUUUUUUUCCCACAUGUUGUACGUUGUUGAAAGCUAAAAGGAAACUUACCCUUGGAUCAUGGAAGGCACAGGCACUUGGUGAGAUGGAAACAAGGAUGUGUGAAAAUGAGACUACCACCUCUCGGAUAAAAAAAAAGUUCCAGAGUUCUAGGGUUCUAAGUGAUGUCCAGGAAAGAGGAGGAAUUAUAUUUAUGGAGCAUAUAUUGUGGAACACAGAAAUUUUAGAGACAACCACUUUGUGCCUGUCUUCAUCCUUGACAUUCAACAUCCUAGGAACAAUGGGCUGUUGUAUUCAACAACUUGUUCUAAACAGCAUUAUGAAUGAUUUUUGAUUGAUCUCACAAAGAGCAUGUGAUUGAGACAUUAAUGCAGCAACUACCAUGAAACGGAGUAUUGGAUUACCCGAGGAAAGAAGCAGAAGAUGGAAUUUGAGACAAUCAGGAUGAGUGCAAAACUUAUUUGCAGCUAACCUGCAAAUGGAAUCAUCAGGAACAUCCCUUUCUUACGGAGUCCCUUAAUUUACAACUUAACUGCAAACAUAGGAGAUGGUAGUUCCAAGAAGGAACAUUUUAUCAUCUUUGUUUUUAAUCUCAAGAAUGGUACCUACCAUCAGUGAAUGACCUGUUGCAGUGCUUUCAUUGAAGUGUUCUUCAUUCCCUCAGCAAUAUGAUUGUGAUGACUGAAAAAGGGAACCUGUGCUACUAUUUGUACCAUCAUCUUCACCAAAAUCAAAAAAUGCUUUUUAUGAUGUAUGGAGACACUCUUCAUGUGUGUUUCAGUGGACAUUCCUUGCAGAUACAAAAAACUGAGCAAGCUCACUUUUGGAAAGUGACCUAAAGAGUGUCAUUGAAGUGAAUUUUAAGUAGGCACGACGAUUGUUUUCAUGGUUGCUGUUGGAUCAUAUCUCAGGAGCUGGAACUACAGACAUUACUGAACAAAGAAAUCAGGAUAGUGGAACUUAAAGAGCUUCAUCUCAGUGCUUUCAUAAGUAUGAAGUGCAUAUAUUUAUAAUUUUCGCUAAUCACAGGGUAAAUAUAAAAUUGAUUCAUUAAAAAUGUUUCAUAAGAAUUCAAAGGACUAGAAUUUUGUGAAAUGUAGUAGUUUUACUUAAGUGCCUUUUCUUUAUUUCUAGCCCCGAGCCAAUUUUUUAUAAACCAGUUGAUACAUAAGUAGUUUUGGGGGGAUGAUAUAUUAUACAUUUUCUGUGUAGUAAACAUGUACAUGUAUGUGUGUGGAUGUGUAUCUGAUUAGUUUGUUGGAGUGAUUCCUAUGGUUUGGAACUGCUGGGGCCAUGUUUAGGCAAAAGUCUACAUUUUUGAGUAAACUCCCCAUGACUAGAGCAAAUUUCCCCAGUAUUUGAGAAUUCUUCAUUUCCUAAAGCUGUACAAAACAUCAGAUAAUAUUUGUAAGGAUCGAUAAUGUAAUUUAUAAUGAAAUUGCUUUCUGAGCUAUUAAUGUUAACUGUAUCAUCUUAAUAUUGCCUUAAAACUCAUUUGUGCUAUUCCAUUUUCCUCUGUUCCUUUUAUUUUCACUUCCUUUCUAAUGUUAGUCUCCUCGUACUGAUCUCUGAAGAGUUCAUUUGUGAUUACAGAUGUUAACAUUUUGUCUAGAAUAGCAAAUAUGUUUUUUCUCAUUCAUUUUACUAUGGUGUUUUAUUUUUUGGUUAUAUAGAAGUUGUAUAUUGAAAUAUAAUCUUGUUCUGUUUUAUGA